UACGUAGGGUGCAAGCGUUGUCCGGAAUUAUUGGGCGUAAAGAGCUCGUAGGCGGUUUGUCGCGUCUGCUGUGAAAACCUAAGGCUCAACCUUGGGCUUGCAGUGGGUACGGGCAGACUAGAGUGCGGUAGGGGUGACUGGAAUUCCUGGUGUAGGGUGGAAUGCGCAGAUAUCAGGAGGAACACCGAUGGCGAAGGCAGGUCACUGGGCCGCAAGCUGACGCUGAGGAGCGAAAGCAUGGGGAGCGAAC
rnacentral:rRNA from 1 species